GGACUUUCUGGAAUAAAGCCACUUGUAAAUAUUGGCCUGGCACCUUGUUUACAGAGAUUCCAGCAAUCUUACCUGGUAAGUAAGGAAGCUCACUUAUCUGGCAGGUGCAAGGAACCUCGAAACAUUUUAGGGGACCUCGAAAAGAGAAACUCACACAAAUCUGUAGGUACUUCAGGCAAAAUCUGAUGGCAAGUCCUUGGCUGGGCUUUUCUGGCCUUGAGAGGCCUUUAAAGUUCAAUCUGAGGUUACAUAAAAAGUUCCAGCAAAGCAGAUUUUAAAAAGCUUGUAUGAUCAAUUGCUAUUCUUGUUGCACUUACGUAAAUAAUUGGACUAAGUUUUAUUGAAGCUACACUUCUUUUGCAAACCAGUUAAUCUUAAUUUAACUAUCUUUUGUAAAAAUGAGGGUGAUUUUAGAGAGAAAGAUUAUGUUUCAGUAGAAGCUAUAGUACACAUUCAUGGGUAUUAGAUUCUAGCUCUUCUCUUCUACAAGAUUCAUCUUUUACUAAUCAUAACGUCUCCCUGUGGCUGUCAGUCUCUGGUACCUGGAAGGUCCCUGGCCACAAUCACACCUUUUCCUUCAACUCUACUGCCCAAAUACUAACUAAAUUCUCAUUGUCACAGGUGGAUCACAAACAGUGAGUUCCAAAGGUAAAGUCCCCAACCUACCAAUACACGCAGGAUAGAUUAUAUCAAAUUUGGGAUGAAUAUAUUUGGCUCACUCCUACUAGUGGUCAACUGAGUCAAAAGGCCACUCUGUUUUGGGAACAAACCAAUCACACUUGUGAUACGUGGCCUAAUAGCACCCAACGUAUGGGACAAAUUCCCAGCUAUAUAUCUUCUUAUAUCAUAGCCUUAAAAAAAAAUACUAUGGUUUGGGACUCACUGGGAUAGAUGGUCCAGCGUACAUUGGUUAGCCCCUAAUGGCACUCAGUGGCUUCGUGGCUCCAACGUAUGGCCUUGGCUGCCACCUGGAUGGAUUGGACGAUGCACCCUAGGCUUCGUCUGGAUGCAAGGUAGAACUACACUCAUUAUAUCUCUUCCUGCUAACUGAGCCAACCUACGACAAUGCUAGACCCGUUCCAUCUUCCACUGGUAUGAUCAUCUUGCCUCAAUUUUGCUUCCCCAAUUAGGAAUCAAAAGUAUCAUCUGGCACAUGGAAGCCCUAAACAAAUUUGCCAUGAAGGUGUUAAAUUUACACAGGAUAGCCUUUCACUGCUUGAUUUAGAAGUAUCCCAAAUGUGCAAGGUGGUCCUCCAAACCUGAAUGGCACUGGAUGUCUUGACAGCAGCACAGGGGGGUACUUGUGCCAUUAUAAAAACCAAAUGUUGUGUCUGUAUUCCUGACUACUUCGCAUUUUAACUUGACCUAUAGAACUUGGCUAAGAGUUAAGUGGGAAAAGGAGGUUUUAAUUUAUUACACAUUGCUCUUAUAUUUAUCUUAAAGGGAUUCUGGGCCUUGACCUGAUUUCUGGGUCAAGCGGGAAGCCAGUUUCGAAGCGGGCAGCCCAGAUGUCCACCAUCUGUCUCCUUGUGGCUUGGCCCCGAUAUAACAGUGGAGCAGAGGGGAGGGCGUGGGGGUUAUUUCUAUUGCUUACAAAACCUUUAAGACACCUUGAAAACCUUUUCAGAUAUUUUUUCCCCUUCUUUCAGCAUAAAUUAUGAACCUUCUUCCUCUGCUGCUGGAGAUACAGAGAUAAAUGGCACUGUUUCUUCCUCCAAGAUCGAACAAUCUAACGGGAAGAUGUUCACCAGAACAGCUAACUGUAAGGGGAUGAGGACCAUUCUGCAGUUUGGAGACUGAGUGCUAGGGGGCAGCAAGGACAGGGACAGUGUCUUCAUCUGUAUGGUGGAAACAUCCAGAAGCCCACCCUGGGUCAUAGACAGUUGCUGUUUCCCACUGCCCCACCCUCUGGGCUCAUUGAACCCUGAAAAUAAGCCUCACGAAAUCUUCACAUGGCAGUGAAGGAGGUAGGAUCACUCCAUUUAAUAUAUGAAGAAUCUGAAACUUAGGAGCUUAAGUAAUUUGUCUGCUGUGAAAUCACCAGGAAAUGAGAAGUAAGCUUCAAACCGAGAUACAACAGACUGUGACCCGGUGCUCUCCUCUCCAAGCCGGGUGGCUAGAAAAGCUGAAGAAUGAAACACAGUGUCCAUGUACACAUAUGUACACAUACUACACCUAUGAAGAUAUAUAUAAAUGCUUUGACACUUCAUUUCAAAUGUCUGAAAUGACACCUGUUUGACACCUAUCUCCCUGGACAUACUUUCCCUCAUCAAUAUACCCAUUAGGCCCACAGCUGACGGCUGGAGCUCAGAGCACAAAACACCCCAUGUCCCUUCAGAGCUUCUUAUAAAGUCACACAUUCCAUCCCAUUUGAAAGAGAGACUCUGAGCUCCACCACGGGGCCUUGAGGCCCCCUUGCUCUUGCAGAGGCCCCUGUGACCAUCCCAGCUCAGCCUUCCCCAGGACCCCACUGGCUUCAGAGGGAAGGUGAGUAGGGCUCUGCUGCUAAGUCCCCAGCCCUGCCUGGCCUCAAAUGAUGGACACGGGCAGGAUGGGCACAGGUCGGGCAGGAGGGAGGCUGAACAGCCAGAGCUCUACAGUCCAGUGCAAUGGUGGGGGUGGGCAGCCACGGCCACACUCACCUUGAAGGAUACAGGCACCCAGGGAGGCAGCACCUGAAAAGGAGCAGAGCAGUUGGCUGUGGACAAUGUCUGUUUUAAUUUGCAGGAAGAGGUGGUACCUGCAAUACAAAAGGGGAAAGAGUUGCCCUCGGUUUUGGCUGAGGACUGGAAGAAGAGGAAGGUUUGUUCGUGCCUAUCCACCUGGGUCUCCAGAGCCCUACCCAGCUCCGAGGAGUGGCCGAGACAUGCCAAGCCUCUCGGAGGGCAAGCAGAGGAACCUGAGAGGGGCCCUCGGAAUACAGAAAAUCUGAAGUGUCUGUGGCAGCUUCCAAAGCUAGUGGCUAGCCCUUUCCAAAGAGACACGAGAAGGACCAAGGAAAGCCACAGGGCCCAGCAGCCACUGUCCCUGGCAGGAACUCCCACAUGAUGACAACCACAGCCACUGUCACCACCACCCGCACCUCAGGUUCUUGGGUUGGGGAGCGGACACGACUCAACUGGUCCCAGUUACCACCCCCAGUGCUGACAUAAUCUGAUCUUCACUCAGCCUGUGAGGAGCCACGUGCACAACCCCAUCCAGAGAGUGUGUUUAACGUGCUAAGAUCACAUAGGCGCUGCCAUCCCGGGACGCUGGAGCUCGUCCCUCUUUGGGUGCUGGUUCACUUAAAGCACACUGGACAUCCUGCAGGGUUCAGGCGCUCACUGGAGUUUCCAUUUGAUAAAUCUUUAUCUCACCUGCUUUACACGUGCACUGUGCUGGGCACUGGGGACACGGUGGAGGCUCAGAUGUCACUCUCUGUCCCCAACUUUGUAUGGAAUUGUGUGCAGGGGAUAAAGGCUGUCCCUAAUAAAUUUCAUAUCUGGA